CACGUAGGGCGCAAGCGUUGUCCGGAAUUAUUGGGCGUAAAGAGCUCGUAGGCGGUUUGUCGCGUCUGCUGUGAAAACGCGAGGCUCAACCUCGCGCCUGCAGUGGGUACGGGCAGACUAGAGUGUGGUAGGGGAGAUUGGAAUUCCUGGUGUAGCGGUGAAAUGCGCAGAUAUCAGGAGGAACACCGGUGGCGAAGGCGGGUCUCUGGGCCGAUACUGACGCUGAGGAGCGAAAGCGUGGGGGAGCAAACAGG
rnacentral:rRNA from 1 species